GACUAGUGACAGAGAGAGGGAGGGGGUGACUAGUGACAGAGAGAGGGAGGGGGUGACUAGUGACAGAGUGAGGGAUGAGGUGACUAGUGACAGUGACCACCUCCUUCACUCUGCCACUAGUCACCCCCUCCCUCACUCUGUCAUUGUGUCACCCCCUCCCUCACUCUGUCAUUGUGUCACCCCCUCCCUCACUCUGUCACUAGUC